ACCAGGUGCCUUAAAUUCAAGUUGGUCUCCAAACAGCUUAGUGAAUAUAGGUCCAAACAAUGUUGUUGGCUCUAAUUUUGAGAAUUAAGAGUUUAAAAAAUAUAACAAAAUAUGGAAUACUCUUUGUCAUAAAAUGGAAAAUUUAAAAGUGCAAAUUUAAAGCCUAUCAUAUUUAAUUGGAAAUGCAACAAAGACAAUAUACCAAAUGUUUGACUCGAUCCCUGCAUCCUUCAGUUAGCAUGUUGUGGUAUCUUUGAGCAAAUACUGAUCCCUAAGUUACAAAUGAUACCGUGCAUCCAUUGGGUUACAUUGGAUUUAGUGUGCGCGUGUGCAUGUGUGUGUGUGUGUGUGUGUGUGUGUGUGUGUGUGUGUGAGAGAGAGAGAGAGAGAGAGAGGUAGAGAGAGAGAGAGAAUGUUGUUUGGCUUUCCACUGACAUGUUGCUUAUUAUUUUGUUUGUAUUGUUUGCCUCAUUACAUUCAUUACAAGUCAAAACACUCAAAAUUGCUCAAUCCUCUUUGUUUUGUACAGCUUUCAUCAGUCUCUGGGUUCUUGCAGUUCUGCUUCAGUUUAUCUCGUCUCUCAGGGUUUUCUGUAAUUCUCUCCAAUGAUGACUAUCAUUACUUUUAAAAAGCAGCCUUGAAGCAAAAACUAAGGACAGAAAAAAAUGUUAACAUACACAUUGAAGAAUUGGCUGCAACUGAAAGUAAUAUAGUUGAGAUGAUAGUACGAUGAUAGUAGUUGCAGAUAUAUUUGUGUUCCCUUGUACUACAAAGUCAUUCUGGUGAUGAGGUCAUCCAGUCAUGUUUGUUGGUCAAAGGGCAAACUGUCAGGUCUGCGUACCUGAAAAAUGUUAAAUGUUGCAAUGAAUAUAAUCAUAAUGGCUGGUACCCCAAUCCCUGUAAUCGCCUUCCAGUAAGAAAUGGAGAGGAAAGAUGAGAGAAUGCAGUAGCAGAAAGCAGAAGAGGAGGUACAAGACAGCAAACCAGCGGCACCUGAACAGGUGCGCGUUAUUUGUUUUUUCAGUUGUUUUUUGUUUUUUAGUGUCUGGUAUGGGAUACCACAGCAGGUUUAAGAAAAACAAAUAUAUAUCAAAAAAGACCA
ensembl:lncRNA